CACUGCUUGCCAUGUGCUGCUAAGAGAGACGUGGAAGGUGCUGGAAGUUGCGUGGCAGAUGGGCUUGCUCGGGAUGUUGAGCUGCUCCCUCUCAUUAGUGCUGCAACUGCGGAUGUUGAGCAAGCAGAGGGAGAAAGGCCACGGUUGUUGGCUGGUCUGGGGACAGGUGGAAGAGGUGCUCAGGUCCCCCUGGAAGGAAACCUUCCCAGCUUGUCAGGGUAAGGUUUUCCCUCCCAGACCGCCUCUAUGGCUAUGAGACAUCAUAAUCUUUCACUAGGUCUGUUCUCACUGGCACCGGAAUCCAGCACUGUGAGAUCACAAUGGGCUGUCCCCAGCCACAGCCCGCAUGCCUGGGGCUUGUACAGAACAGCUGCCCACUGCUUCCACCCUUGUCUUGUGCAAAGAAAGAAAGAAGGGAUAUCUGCAGUCACUUUUGUGGGAUCAAAUGGUUUCUUUUUAGAAGAUAUAUGGUUUCUUUUACUGAUAGAAAUGACCUUAGUUCCCCUUCCAUUUUAAGUUAAUCAUGCUGGUAUUUUGGUGGUGAAAAUAUAAAUGAAGCCUCAUUACAACCAAGUACAUGCAGGUGUUUCAGGAAGUAAACUGUGAAGAGAGUAUCUUGAUAGACAACAGUAUCCAAAUGAAUAAGAAAGCCAAAUGAAUAAUAUUAGCUCCUCAGGUGGCAUCACUGAAGAAACAAGAAAAUUAACAUGGAUGAUUUUGGACCUUUUCUCCCAUGCAGAGCUGUGUGCUCUCCCCCUUCUGUGCUCUGAACAACAGAAACAUGAGGAUGAAGAGAACAGCUUCUUGUUUUCUCAUUUUCUUGACUUGCUAAUCGAUCCUGUAGCCAAGUGGCCCAGAACAGGUGCUUGUUAUAAAGCAGGCAUCCAGACUUUCUCUGAGUCCUGUUGUUUUCUUCCCACAGGUAACAAUGGGAAAGAAACAUCGAAGUUGGCUAGACUGAAUUUCUCAGUCUAGAAGAGCAGAGCACACAUAAAGUUAAAACAAGGGCAGCCAGCAAAUCUUCUGAAAGAUCAAUGCUCAUAUCUCUAACCCAAACUGCGUGGUGGCUGUGUCUGGCAUUACAAACAGCACAGGAUUUUUCUAACAGCAGUCUGUGCUAAGGAAUUAAAUCUGGUAUUCUGUACUGCCAUAGUAGGGCAGUUAGGGAGUGAUCUUCUAUUGACUUCACACUCAAAUGAGCUGUAUUUUUUUAUAAAUCACCACUUUCUUGGCAUGCAGAGCAUGCAUACGGAAGAUCUGAGAUUCAAGGCAUUAGAGAAAUGUUAUGAAGAUCGAUUGGAAGCAGUGAUUAACUACUUAGUGCAUCACAAAGCACCAUUUCCUCAUUCUACAAAAGGGCAAUACAUGGUUAUAGGUCACAAAGCAAAAAUGCUUCUUCAUUUGUAAAGUUUCACAGGCCACAUUCCCAGUCAUUUAAAAUACACUACUUUUUACACUUAUGAAUUAGUAUUUUAGAGGAGCUAAUUUAGUCUGAUAUUCAGCCGCUCUCAGGAUUCCUGCCAACAAAACAGAAAUAGGACAGGUGAAGUGUAGAUAGAGACAGUGAAGUGGAGAUCUAGCAUCUAGAGAAAUACACUGCAGGAACUCAUGAAUUCUAAAAGUGGGGCUGACCCAAAAAGACUGCAAUCAAAAAAAUCUUCAUUCAGACAACUGGCAAGUUCUGUUUGAGGACUGUAACUCUAGAGAAGGUUUAAGCUUUUCUUGAGUGAAGCCUAGAUGCAACAGCAGACGCCUUAGAAAGCUGAGGAGAUUUUUCUGGGAUUGCAUGAUCAGGGAUCAGAAAAAUAAUCACAAAUGUGACAGAAAGCUCACCACCAAGUGAAGAUGCAAAAAACCACAGUACAGCUCACUGGCUGAAAUUGCAGAAAGCUGUCUUCCCACAAAGCAGCUGUUGCCAAACUUCAACUUGCAGAUACAAGACUGUUUGAAAAAAACUGGAAACACUUGAAUUGAUUUUGAAUGCAUUGUGUGACAACAGAUAACAUUCAGAAGCAGGAUGUUAUGCAUUAAGUAAAAAUAAAAAUUGAGUUCUCCUUCAUAAAACCAGAAUUUGAUCCAUUAAGUCUAUUUACAAUUUUUAUUUUUUAUUUUUCUCUGCUCUUAGCAAUAAUUAGUUGGCUUACUAUCUUCCAGUUGGAAACUUAGUCCAAACACACCCUAUAAUUUUCUCUUUCCUUUACAUCACUGGUACCAUUCUACACAAUUCCUCCUGUUUGUUUAGGGUGUGAGCCUUUACAAUAUAUUUGAAACAUUAUAAUGAAAUAAGCAUCCUGAUAGCCACUUAAACAAACCAGAUUUCAAUUGCUUGGAUAUCCAUGCUGACACCAAGUUAAUAGCUUUUGUUCUCUUUUCUCAGACUGCAUACAUCUUUGGUAUUUGAAGUGCUAAGAGUAAUACUAGUUCAGCUCAAAUUCCCAACAAACUUGCAGAGACAGGCAAUAUGUUUUCUCCUGCAUGAUGUGCUCCUGCAUAAACAGAGCUUGUCUUUUUUGUCACAUUUAUAAAUGGCCUUAAAGUGGUCACCACAAUCACCUUUCACACAAUCUUUUCUACAGACAGUUUUCUAUUUCUUUCUAUUGUUCUUUCAUUAAUUCUUCUCUUGCCAUCUCAUUUAGGAUAAAUCUUGCCCAAUUUUAGAUCCUCAUAUUCUAAAAUCCAAAUAUCUUUCAUUUUGUUCUAUCUUGCCUUCUAAAUACAGUUUCAUACAGAAUGAAACAUGCAGGUUUCAUUCUUUUGGGGUUUUUUCUUUCUUCUUUCCCUGUUGCCAUUGGAAGGUCAAAACCCAUUGGAAUUAAGACCUCCUCAUUUAAACCCUUUUGUCCCAAUAAAUCUAUCUACAUUUAUCAUUACUUUUACACUUCUCUGGCUGAAAAGCACAAGUGUUCAAUAGUUCUCAGGAAGACUCUUUGGGACCACCCUAAACCAAGACUGAAUGUCCCUCUGUGAACACAAUGUGCUAAAUCACCGCAUUUGAUCAAGGGCUGGUUGUUUAGGUUGCCCCAUAUCAUGGUUUAGGAAUGGUAUUCCCCAAUUUAGCAAACUCAGAAAAGGAAAAUGUGAAUGUAUUUUCUAUCCAAUGUUUUUAGGUAUUAUGCCUAUGAAUUUUCCUGCACCAAGCUGUUCUCCCACAAAGACACACAUUUGCCUGAAGUUGCUUUACAAACUCACUUUCUUGAUACUCAGAGAGGAAAAAAAUCUGUGGUAAAGGUCUGCCACAGACUGCUUAUUAAUUGUGGACUAGCCAGUUGAUUAGUUUGUACCACCUGCUAAAGAAAGAUAACAGUCUCAUCAUUGCCUCAUUCACACAUCUAUUUAGAUUAUAAAUCCAAUAAACAGGACUUUCUCUUACCAUCUUGUUCAGCAAAAAGAAGAAAUCCAGACCUACCACAAAACCAAAACAUAUUGUUGGCAUAAUUUCCCCAUAAAAAGUCCUUUCUUUUUAGGGGAUAGUGCAUAUUAAUGCAAGUGCAAUUAUGAUAAUUUUCUAAUUCCUAAUCUACCUCUUCAGAAAGGAUGAAGACUCCUGCAUUCACCCUCUGAGUUUAUCAUUGUUUCCCCUUGUUCUGAUGUAGGGCUGCUGAUAACUGAGAUCAUAGCACACCUUCUGCAUCUGAGUCCAGAGCAUCCAAAGGAGUUUUCAAAACUGGUUUUGAAGAGAUGCUUUAAUUCUUGAUUACACUGACUCCUGCACACCUUGGACUCCUGUGAUCAAAGACUCAACACCCCAUCUGCAAACACGAUGCCCUUAUUCAUCUAGCAUGGCUCGGUUCUUACUGGUUGUGUUGAAUAUCUGCUGUACUUUUUUCAUAGUAUUGAAUUUGUGCUUUUUUAGUAGACAUUGAUUUUUGGUCUGUUAAAAAAGCGGAUGUAUUCCUUUUCUUUCUUUCUCCUCUUAUCUCCAGCUAUUUAAACUAUUCUAGAUAUGCAUCUGGAAACACGAGAAAACCUGUGAUCUUUCCUUUGCCCCAUGAUUUAAUUUUGCUAUAAUAAAUUUCCCUUGGAGUACUGCCUUUCUCUCUGGCUGUUGCAACCAAAAUCAGGUCCAGGUACCAGCUGCUAGCUGAAUGUUUUAAUCAGGGAGCUUUCACUUACCAGGCAGUGAGACAACAAGACCUGUUACUUCCUUUGGCAGCCCUAGUGAGAGGGAAUUUUGGUCGUAUUUUUUAAUCUCAAAUCUCUCGUAGUGUUUGCAAGUUUCUCUUGUGAUUUGUCCCUGCAGUUGGUAAAGCAAAAAUAAAAUGUUCUCAAGACAUGUUGUAAGAGAGGAAACAUGCCUUUCUUCCAAUGGCAGUGCUUGAAACAGUGGCCUUGGACUUAAAGCAAAGCCACCUUAAUAAGCUUAUAAUUAUGACAUG